GAUGAACGCUGGCGGCGUGCUUAACACAUGCAAGUCGAACGAAGCGCUUAAACGGAUUUCUUCGGAAUGAAGUUUUUGCGACUGAGUGGCGGACGGGUGAGUAACGCGUGGGUAACCUGCCUCAUACAGGGGGAUAACAGUUAGAAAUGACUGCUAAUACCGCAUAAGCGCACAGUGCUGCAUGGCACAGUGUGAAAAACUCCGGUGGUAUGAGAUGGACCCGCGUCUGAUUAGCUAGUUGGUGGGGUAACGGCCUACCUAGUCUUCGAUGGAUAGGGGUUCUGAGAGGAAGGUCCCCCACAUUGGAACUGAGACACGGUCCAA
rnacentral:rRNA from 1 species